AGAGACAAUCUCUACAAGACUCAUUUUAACACAAUGUUUUUUUUUUUUUUAAUUGAGCUUAAAUAAAUCUGCUUGUGAUUUUUUUGAGGUGCAGACAGUUGCCUGUGCUCAAAACCAGCUGGAUACAAGGUAGUUCUUGUUCAAAAGUUGUGUGGCAGAGUUACUGGAAACAUGAGCUGUAGCUUCUGCAUCCUGUCUCUUGGUACAGAGUGUAUUCACAUAGAUUGACUGGAACAGACCGUGGGGAAAUAGAAGAAUUCUCUCACUUUGUGAAAACAAAAAGAUGUUCUGCAAAAGUAAUGUGUCCUCAUGGAGUACUGAUCUCUGAAUUACCUGAAUAAGAACCUCAGAAUGCCAUGACACCUGACCCAGAAUUUUAGGAUGUUGGUGUGACUUUGUCCCUUGAGUUCCUCUGAUGCUAAAAUCCCAUGUCCUAGUGCCAGAACCCUCAGCUGCUUAUGGAUUAUCCCUCAGUACAUUAUUAUGGAAGGAUCAGUUGACUUCUGUGGGAUACAUUGAAGAAUGAAGGUCUUCUGGAUCCUUUUCAAAUUCCACUAAGAAUGGUUUCACUUGUAGGUUUCUAAUUUCCUCAGAUUUGCUUCAAUCAAUAGAAUACUCUAAUCACAAAAAGACUAUUAUGUAUCAUAUGCUGAACUGUAGGCCAGUCCUUCCAAUGCAAUCCUGCUGCAUAAUUUUCCUUCAGGAGGGAUGAAGAAGCUUCAAAGUUGGUUACAUCUCAGGCCUGAAACUCUGAUCUAUUUUCCCAUGGAACCUGUUCAUUUUUUGACUGAAGUAAGUUUGAAAAUUUAUUCCUUACAGUGUAAACCUAGGUAACCCUUUAAUGAGAGGAUUUUACAGGCAGAUGUGAACAGUAGUGAUGAGACCCCCUCUAGUAAUGCUUUUUUAAUGGAAAAGGAGACAUAGGAAGCAUCAAAGACAUAGGAACAGUGGUUCUGCACAUGAUUGACCUUAAUUUUUUGGAAGCAGAAAUUGAUUUUCAUACCUUUUCAACCUGCACUAUGAACUCAAGCGCAUGAUUUCCUCCUCUCCAUCUGAUUAGAAACUGAAAUUCAGUCAGAAAUUGAAAUAUAUAUAUGUAUGUCUUUUUAUGACAGAAAUUUACCUGUCUUUCUGAAGAGUUCACUCUCAAAGCUGUCAGUGUGGAAUGCGAACAAAAUUGGAGGUAUUUUCUACUGCAUGGUUCAUAGGCUUGUUUUUCAGUUCUUGUAAAGUGGCCUGUUAGUAAUGUCAGAGAGAAAUUAAUGCAAUAGAAUUUCUUGAAUUCAAGUGACUUAGCAGAAUUACAUUUUGAAUGGGUGUUUGGAUGUAUGUGUUUAACCUUUCUCUUAACAAUUUAUCUGGGAACAUAUCCAUAAUGCUCCUUUUACUGAUAUUAUAAGCUGAGUGAUAAUAAAUACUGUUUUCCUAUUAAAAAAAAAAAAAAAAAGAAUCUGUAUGUUGGCAAAUAAAGAGAAGGCAAGAAGUACCUG
ensembl:lncRNA